AACCCAUAGUGAGGGCACCUUCUCAAUAAAUCCUUUUAUCUCUCUCAUGCAUCAUAUAAUGUUUCUAAAUCGAUCUGGGUAAAUGAGGAGAUUCAUUCCUCAACUU
rnacentral:snoRNA from 1 species